AUGAGAUUGUGCAUGUUUAUUUUCAAUUUGUGACUAUUUAUCUGCAAUUCAAAUUUUUAGUGAAAUUGUCACUUAGUGCUCACUAAUGUUGAUUUUAAGCCAGUUUACUUCGUCCCUUGGGAACUUCAUGAUGACCAAGAACUUUGGGCUUAACCAUGACCAGCACGAGAGGGGCUGGUCUACAAGGCACCUUAUUCCAAAACCACCUGAAAGGGAUUUUGGAAGUAAAACCAAUGUGAGGAUCAGUAAGAGCCUAACCAAACCCACUCUGAGUGCCAAGUGGGGUCUGUUCUUGAUUUGAAUUAAAAUUGGUCACAGCCUUUACCUUUGGGGAUUGAGUUUAUGGUUUUUUUGGAGCAUGUUUUAAACUCAAUUCCUAAAG
rnacentral:misc_RNA from 1 species